rnacentral:rRNA from 1 species
GGGGCAUGUGAGGGCUGUCGCCGACUCAAAGUCGUGCACGCCCGAGCGUGUCCUCUCACAUAAUAAUCCAUCUCACCCUUUGUGCAUCGCCGCGUGGGCACCCUUUGGGAUCAUCUCGGAGGGGGCUCGCGUUUUCACACAAACCCCCCUUUUAAAAGUGUAGAAUGACCUCAUUUAUGCGCUAACCCGCAAUCAAUACAACUUUCAACAACGGAUCUCUUGGCCCUCGCAUCGAUGAAGAACGCAGCGAAAUGCGAUACGUAAUGUGAAUUGCAGAAUUCAGUGAAUCAUCGAAUCUUUGAACGCACCUUGCGCCCCUUGGUAUUCCGAGGGGCACACCCGUUUGAGUGUCGUGAAAACCUCAACCUCUUUGGUUUCUUCUGGAGACCAAAGCAGGCUUGGACUUUGGAGGCCUUUGCUGGCACCUCUCUCUUUUGAAGGUCAGCUCCUCUUAAACGAAUUAGCAGGGUCCUCUUUGCCGAUCCUCGACGUGUGAUAAGAUGUUUCCAUGUCUUGGUUUCUGGCUCUGUCACUUUUGGNCCCGCUUCUAACCGUCUUGACCUUGCGUCGAGACAAGUGCUCGAGCAUGUCUCCCUUCUUNNNAGCUCCCUCGACCCCACGAACCCUUGA